UCAAUUUCUAUUUCCUAGGUUCGUACCUCUACCUCGUCUCUAAAUAAUUUCAUGAUAGGGUUAGUAGCUAAUCUUUAAUUUUAUUAAGUUGCAUGGUGGAGUUACUUCAAAAGUAAUGUUUGGUAGAGAUGAGGUAGAAGUACUGACAUAGAAAUAGAAAUUGAGGCAGUGAACAAAUUAAAAAAAUUUAAAAAGUUAUA
rnacentral:lncRNA from 1 species